UCUUCCGCCUUUUCCGUUCAUCCUUCCUCUCCCGCUCACAUCCCUUCCUCAUCAUUCCUUUUCCCGUUCUCUUUUCGACGAUCGACUUUUCGCGCUUCCAUUCGCUCGCUCACGUUAACUGAUAACGAAACGAUGUUUUUGAAAGAUUCAUACUCCGUUUCUGAUUCGCUAGUGCAACGUUUUAAUUGAUAAGGACGUUUGGUUAGCUCGGUUGCUUCUUUCACUAGCAGGAAUCUCUGCUGGAACACCUGACGCGUUUCCGCGUUCUUUCUCUUUCUCUCUAUAUUGAAUUAAGAGCGGUCUCAAUGUCGCGACAUACCCUUUUGCACUUGGAGAUUCACUCGAAUGGGUUUAGAGAAGUAAUUGGUUAAUUCAAUAAACGUCUCCCUUUUGCAGGUAGCUUGUGUAUUUCAACGGAGAAUGCGUUUGAGAUACUACCGAAUGUUUUGAGAUACAAUCAAGUAGAUACGAAUCUUGUAUCUCCCAUUUGGAUGCACGUUUCCUAUUUACACGCAAGUAAAUGCCUGUGAAAAAUGAAGUCCAUGCGGAGUGGACGUGUGUUGUGGAUUAAAUGAAUGAUCGUUACUACGUGAAUGCCAUGUCGAUACGAUAACGAUUCAUUGAAAACAUCGACAUCAAAUCUAUUCGUUUUUAUCAAGCUACAUGUAUUUACUCCCUUUAAUGUUGUAGGGAUUACAUGGGAAAAGAAAAAAAAAAAAAAACUGUAAAGUCGGAUUACCGUGAGCGAUAGGCAAGUGCUUUUGAAUUAUCCGCGUACACCUCCCGCGCAUACACGUCUUAAGGAUGGGUGAAGCAGGGUGGAGAAAUUUUCAGUGGGAUUAACGGCUUUCAACAAGCUACGAGCGCUUUCCAUUUACUACGCCGAGACGACGAAUGACAACUAAUUUCGCCACACGCGCCUUCCAUUAGCCGAGUUGUGGCGAGAAAUCUUGACUACGUUUACCACAGUUGAGGGUUUAGAGUUGCUAUUCCUUUAGUGACUACAGCUUGUUACGAGUUAAGCUGUAAAGCGCCACCAAUUUUUAACGUCGACUGAUGGGAUAGCUUGAAAGGAUGAAGAACACUAUGGACACGCACGAGCUUAUGGCGCGUUCCUAUUGUCCUUUUACCACGUCGAUGAAUUAUCUAAAUUUAAACGACAACAAGAAAAACAGGAAACGUCUUAUUCCUUACGAUAAUCGUUUUAUUUUCCGAGAUAUUACGACAAACCAUAGUUCAACGACUGUCGAUUCAAUUCUCUUUCCUACUCGAUUAAGAUUUGUUCGUUAUCGUGUUAUAAUGUAAAGUAGUUUUCAAAAUAGCACAAAAAUAUUAUAGAACUUUUUAAUUCUUGUGAUACUGAUUAAUUUCAAGUGAUAAACGAGUCAAUUUGGUUUUCUUUUUUCACGUAAUCCAUUAGAGAUUCGUAUGUUUGUUCUCUAUGAUAAAAAAUCCGUAUUUGUUUAAGAUUAAAAUAAUCAACGUUUGCAGAUAUUCUAAUGAGUUUUAAUAAAACAAUUGAAUCCUUAGAAUAUCGAGUUCGUCGAAAAAGAUUCAGAAUUAGAAAAAGGAUUCUCGAUUUUAAGAUACAUAAGACUUGAUAAAACAAAUUUGCAGAAAAUUUAGAUAAAAUAUGAAAUAAGAAUAGAGUAAAUGAUCCUUUUUGAUUCAUAACUAUAGCAACCGUAAGAAUGAAAGCUCGUUAAACUAAUUAUACACUAAUUAUAGUAACUGUGACGUUGUUAAGUUCUCUUCUUGCUUUUUAUUCUUCCGUUACGUCUCAACCUACGUAUAAUUUCUUCGGUUCGUCAGGUUACAACAAAAGUAUUGAAGACGUCGUUAUCUCCUUCGAGGACAGACCAUAACGUUAUAUAUAUAUAUAUA